rnacentral:lncRNA from 1 species
GAAAUGCCUGCACCUUAGCUGACCAGUGCUGAGGGUCCGGAACAGGAUGGCACCUGGGGCUGGCAGGCUUCAAACCGCCUAGAAGCACCCCCAGAUGCCUAGAAGCACCCCCAGACUGUGGCGGCAACCCGGGCCAGGAAUCUCACACAGCACUUUUUGGGACAGUCUGGGGUCAGCACUAGGGAAUCUCUGCAGGCUCUGGGAGGCACAGGACACACCUGGUUAAACAUUUGCCCGCUUUGGCUCCUCUCCAGAGCAGCGGACACCGCCCUGCGCACACAUGGGCCCAGGGCUGAGGCAGCAGUUUUGCGAUCCGGGUUUUUAUUUAACUGGAAGACAGAUACAGAGAUACUUGCUCCCUCCCUCCCCCGUCCCCCACCACGCUGCCCAGCUGACCUUGGCUCCACGCAGGAUCAAGAUAACAGGUGAUGCUAGAGAAAGUCACCUCUCCAACGUCUGUGCAGCCGGGGGGUCGGCAUUCGGGUUUUCUUCUCGGGGCCGCGGGGAGGACGAAGGAACGUUCUGGGCCGUCACCGGGUUGCCCUGGAUGAGCUUGCCAGAUGCGAAGGACCUCCGCCUGAGGGAGAAGACCCUGAUGAGGUUGCCACCACCCUAUUUUCACCUUCAGCCCCGGACGGGCCUGCACCCUAGAGGAGCACUGAGGCAGACUGGCAUUUUCUUAAGGAUCUCAAUCAAAUACCAAGAGGGGACCCAAAGAGACUAUAUCUCUUUUUGGGGGGUGUGCCAUGCUUCAUUUUAUUUUAUUCUAUUUUGUUUUGGGGCGCCUGGGUGGCUCAGUCGGUUGAGCGUCCGACUUCGCUCAGGUCACGAUCUCACGGUCCGUGAGUUUGAGCCCCGCAUCAGGCUCUGUGCUGACAGCUCAGAGCCUGGAGCCUGCUUCGGAUUCUUUGUCUCCCUCUCUCUCUGGCCCUCCCCCCGUUCAUGCUCUGUCUCUCUCUGUCUCAAAAAUAAAUAAAUGUUAAAAAAAAAUUUAUUCUAUUUUGUUUUCUUUUAUUUUAUAUUAUUAUUAUUUGCAUUUAUUUUAUUUUAUUUUAUUUUAUUUUAUUUUAUUUUAUUUUAUUUUAUUUUAUUUUAUUUUAUUUUCUAGAACACCACAACGAUCAUUCGUAUACUUACUUCCUCAGAGCCAAUAGUGUUCACAUUUUACUUUUAUUUUUGCUUUUAUUUGCUGGGGCAUUUGAAAGUAAGAUACAGGGGCGCCUGGGUGGCACAGUCGGUUAAGCGUCCGACUUCAGCCAGGUCACGAUCUCGCGGUCCGGGAGUUCGAGCCCCGCAUCGGGCUCUGGGCUGAUGGCUCGGAGCCUGGAGCCUGUUUCCGAUUCUGUGUCUCCCUCUCUCUCUGCCCCUCCCCCGUUCAUGCUCUGUCUCUCUCUGUCCCAAAAAUAAAUAAACGUUGAAAAAAAAAAUAAAAAAAAAA